GUGAUGACCAAUGAUAAUGGAACUUAACACGAUCUGCCCAUAUACACACACUUGCCAAAUCACCAUUUGCAGAUUUUGGUAACAAAUUUUCAACUGCAUCUGCAGCAGUUUUACUCAAUCUUGACUGAGCAAUCUUGCAAACAGUGUAAUGACCAUCAAGUCCCCAUCCAUGAACUACUGGAGAAAGAAUCAAGACAGCUACCAUAGCCAAAAAU
rnacentral:misc_RNA from 1 species